GUAGGGAAUCUUCCACAAUGGGCGCAAGCCUGAUGGAGCAACACCGCGUGAGUGAAGAAGGGUUUCGGCUCGUAAAGCUCUGUUGUUAAAGAAGAACACGUAUGAGAGUAACUGUUCAUACGUUGACGGUAUUUAACCAGAAAGUCACGGCUAACUACGUGCCAGCAGCCGCGGUAAUACGUAGGUGGCAAGCGUUAUCCGGAUUUAUUGGGCGUAAAGAGAGUGCAGGCGGUUUUCUAAGUCUGAUGUGAAAGCCUUCGGCUUAACCGGAGAAGUGCAUCGGAAACUGGAUAACUUGAGUGCAGAAGAGGGUAGUGGAACUCCAUGUGUAGCGGUGGAAUGCGUAGAUAUAUGGAAGAACACCAGUGGCGAAGGCGGCUACCUGGUCUGCAACUGACGCUGAGACUCGAAAGCAUGGGUAGCGAACAGGA
rnacentral:rRNA from 1 species